ACCGAUGACCACGACUACGACGUCAAGAUGCGGUCGGUGAUGCGCUUCCUGGAAGACGGCGACAAGGUGAAGAUCACCCUGCGCUUCCGCGGCCGCGAGAUGGCCCACCAGAACCUGGGGAUGGAGCUUCUGAACCGCGUCCGCGACGACGUGGGCGAGGCGGGCAAGGUCGAAUCGAUGCCCAAGCUGGAAGGCCGGCAGAUGGUGAUGAUGAUCGCGCCCCGCUGAGGCGCCGGUCAUAUGGAUGAACGGCCCGCCCUUCGGGGCGGGCCUUUUUCUUGGGCGGA
rnacentral:misc_RNA from 1 species